AGUUGCGGUAUACAUUGAGUGAUACCAUGCAGUCGAGCGGAUGAAGAGAGCUUGCUCUCUGAUUCAGCGGCGGACGGGUGAGUAAUGCCUAGGAAUCUGCCUGGUAGUGGGGGACAACGUUUCGAAAGGAACGCUAAUACCGCAUACGUCCUACGGGAGAAAGCAGGGGACCUUCGGGCCUUGCGCUAUCAGAUGAGCCUAGGUCGGAUUAGCUAGUUGGUGGGGUAAUGGCUCACCAAGGCGACGAUCCGUAACUGGUCUGAGAGGAUGAUCAGUCACACUGGAACUGAGACACGGUCCAGACUCCUACGGGAGGCAGCAGUGGGGAAUAUUGGACAAUGGGCGAAAGCCUGAUCCAGCCAUGCCGCGUGUGUGAAGAAGGUCUUCGGAUUGUAAAGCACUUUAAGUUGGGAGGAAGGGUUGUAGAUUAAUACUCUGCAAUUUUGACGUUACCGACAGAAUAAGCACCGGCUAACUCUGUGCCAGCAGCCGCGGUAAUACAGAGGGUGCAAGCGUUAAUCGGAAUUACUGGGCGUAAAGCGCGCGUAGGUGGUUUGUUAAGUUGGAUGUGAAAUCCCCGGGCUCAACCUGGGAACUGCAUUCAAAACUGAGAAGCUAGAGUAUGGUAGAGGGUGGUGGAAUUUCCUGUGUAGCGGUGAAAUGCGUAGAUAUAGGAAGGAACACCAGUGGCGAACGCGACCACCUGGACUGAUACU
rnacentral:rRNA from 1 species